GCACCUCUUCCAGCCAAAUUUUCUGGAGCAUUUCGAGGUCUUAUCAAAAGCUUGUUGCGGAAGAACCCAGAACUUAGGCCCAGUGCAGCUGAGUUGCUAAGGCACCCCCUACUUCAACCCUAUGUUGAAAAGAUUCAUCUCCAAACUAGGAAUCCUAGGUGUGAUGCCAUAGAUGAUAACUGGGAUGAUACUGAUUAUAAUUGCAUAGACAAAGCUACAUUACCAGAAGCAGAAGAUGAAAGGACAAAAGAUCCCAGUAUAUCAGAAGCUGAACUUGAUUCCUUUUAUACUGAUGACAGAAUAAAACCUACCUUGUCUGAUCUGGAACGGAGGUUGGCUAAGUUAAAGGCUCAAGAUUCCUUUAGGAGAGUGGCUGCUACCAAAGAAGUUACUUCAAAAGCUUCCAAUGAUGUAAGGAAUCCCAGAUUAUCACGAGCAAAAACAUUUGCUACAUCCAAAAGACGACCAGAAUUGUCUAAAAAUCAACAAUCGGUAAGUUUUGAUGCGAGUAUGUAAUCAUUUUCUGUAUGUUUGGUAGGGAGUAGUAGAGUAUUAAACUGAAUCUGAUUGAUGAAAUUUCAUACGCAUUACUUAAGCUUCAUGCAGUUGAUUAACAAUGCAAUAAUUUGUAUUUUUACUUCUGCAUUUUCACUGACUGACAUAUGAUUGCUGAUUGUACUAUUACCAUACUGGUUAUUGUGCUUAUUCAGCAUGGAUUAGCCGACUAGCACUUACU